AGUGAACGCUGGCGGCGUGCUUAACACAUGCAAGUCGAACGCGAAAGGGGAGCAAUCCCCAAGUAGAGUGGCGAACGGGUGAGUAAUGUGUGGGUAAUUUGCCUUUCAGCGGGGGAGUAACCCGGGGAAACCUGAGCUAAUACCCCAUAACAUGGCUUGAUCUUCGGAUCGAGUCAUCAAACGAUGGCCUCUGCUUGCAAGCUAUCGCUGGAAGAUGAGCCCACAUCCUAUCACGCUUGUUGGUGGGGUAAUGGCCUACCAAGGCGACGACGGGUAGCCGGCCUGAGAGGGUGACCGGCCACACUGGGACUGAGACACGGCCCAGACUCCUACGGGAGGCAGCAGUGGGGAAUCUUGCGCAAUGGGCGAAAGCCUGACGCAGCGACGCCGCGUGAGGGAUGACGGCCU
rnacentral:rRNA from 1 species